rnacentral:lncRNA from 1 species
CAUUUAAUAUGAUGUGUACCUAAAUGUGACCGAACUAAGUAAUUCAAAUAUGGAGUUUUGUCAAUAUGCAACGAGUUGCAUAUUGAGCUUCAUUUAAUGUGUAGUAAUAAACUGUUGUGCUUGUCGUGUCGUGCAUAAUAAUUGGACAUGCAUCAUAUAUGAUUGUGCAUCAUGUUAUCCAUAUGUGUGAUGUUUAUCGUGUGUUGAUUGUUUGUUUCUGGAUUGUUCUUUCUGGAUAGAGUUCCGAAAUCGUUUUGGAGUGAGGGUCCGUUCGGCUAUGUUAGUUCGUCUACUUCACAGAUUCGUUAUUUUUCCGAGCGGGAUCACACGCAAGAUGACCAUUUCCUUAUAUACCAUUACUAUCAUUGCCAUGGUAGUUGUCUCGUUUCUUUGCUAUGUUUUGCUGCCUACCACCUGUUUAAUAAGCCUCCCGACAUUGUCCUGAAAAGCCUCUAACAUGUCCACAACCCAGCAAACCAAUGUUUGGCUAUGUUACCGCUUGCUCAACCUUCUUAUAGCAUUGCUAGUUGCAGGUGCAGUUGCUUCCAUAUGAAAACAUGGGUUCCUUGUUAUAUAACCAUAUUAUUGCUAUUUAACUUAAUGCACCUAUAUACCUGGUAAAAGGCGGAAGGCUUGGCCUUUUGGCUUGUUGGGACCCCGACUUACGCGUCGAGAUCACUGAAUGCACGUGUACAGUGAUCCCAGAGAUCAAUGCUCACUAAUAA